CCUGCCUUGAGAGGCCGUGCGUGUGGCUGUCGUGUCACCCGUGUGUCAGUAGGUGGCAGAGGAGAGAGGCUAUGUCUAAGCUCAGUAUUCUGACGUGUGAAUAUGUGUUGAUCAGUAGCCUAACGCU